CCAGUCAUGGAUCAAAAUGUUGAUGUUCUGAAGUUCUCACAGAGCACAAGUAUUAUAGAAUUUCUCCCAAAACAACAUAGGAAGACGAAAAUUGCUAAGCAAACAUGCCUAAAUCCAAAUAAAAACCCCGCAAACAAUUUCAGUAGCGUUUUUAGUUGCGAGGGGUGACAGUUUCUACAUAGCGACAUGGAAGUUAUUGUCAUAGAAGGAAAUUUUCAUUUAAAACUGCCACCAUUUGAACUCACCUAAGAACCAAAACGUCUCCCAACGAACGUUAGCCAGAUAAGAGUUCUGGAGGAUAAUUAAUUCCAUCACAGGAUAUUCUGCAGACCCUGAAAUUGGUUUCCAGCCCAGCUCCGUUUCA
rnacentral:lncRNA from 1 species